GAUGAAGAACGCAGCGAAAUGCGAUAAGUAGUGUGAAUUGCAGAAUUCCGUGAAUCAUCGAAUCUUUGAACGCACAUUGCGCCUUCUGGUAUUCCGGAAGGCAUGCCUGUUCGAGAGUCAUUAACAACCGUUUCGAUCCCUUUCUUUCAGAAAUUACAAAGAGGAAAAGGGUUUGGUUAUGGUGGAGGAGGGAAAGGGAGCGUUUAGCCUGUAAAAAAAGAGGCUGUGUUCCGCCUCCCCCCCAAAAUUGUACAGGCGGUCGUGUGCGCCCACGCAUCGAGGUGUUGUAAAAGCUGCCACGGCACUUUUCACCUGUGCAGUGCGAGAUUGGCCAGCCGGUUUAAAAACCCCUCCAAACAAUCAAAGGUUGACCUCGGAUCAGGUAGGGAUACCCGCUGAACUUAAGCAUAUCAAUAAGCGGAGUA
rnacentral:misc_RNA from 1 species